rfam:Myotis davidii contig316964, whole genome shotgun sequence.
GGGUGGUCUCAGGUGAUACACCCCAAAUCGGGCUCCCUCCUCUCUGGUUCGGGGUGCAUCACCUGAGAACCUCA